GACAGAGGGUGCAAACGUUGUUCGGAAUUACUGGGCGUAAAGCGCGUGUAGGCGGCUUGGAAAGUCGGGUGUGAAAGCCCUGGGCUCAACCUAGGAAGUGCACUCGAAACUGCCGAGCUUGAGUUCUGGAGAGGAAGGCGGAAUCCUCGGUGUAGAGGUGAAAUUCGUAGAUAUCGAGAGGAACACCGGUGGCGAAGGCGGCCUUCUGGACAGCAACUGACGCUGAGACGCGAAAGCGUGGGGAGCAAACAGG
rnacentral:rRNA from 1 species